AACGCUGGCGGCGUGCCUAAUACAUGCAAGUCGAACGCACUGACAGAGAAACUUGUUUCUCUUGACGUGAGUGGCGCACGGGUGAGUAACACGUGGGAAACCUACCCUUCAGCGGGGGAUAACCGUCGGAAACGAUGGCUAAUACCGCAUAGGUCUUUUAACCGCCUGGUUGAAAGAGGAAAGACGGCUUCGGCUGUCACUGAAGGAUGGUCCCGCGGUGCAUUAGCUAGUUGGUAAGGUAACGGCUUACCAAGGCGAUGAUGCAUAGCCGACCUGAGAGGGUGAUCGGCCACAUUGGGACUGAGACACGGCCCAAACUCCUACGGGAGGCAGCAGUAGGGAAUCUUCCGCAAUGGACGAAAGUCUGACGGAGCAACGCCGCGUGUGUGAAGAAGGUCUUCGGAUCGUAAAGCACUGUUAUUAGAGAAGAACAACCGGUAGAGUAACUGUUACCGGCUUGACGGUAUCUAACCAGAAAGCCACGGCUAACUACGUGCCAGCAGCCGCGGUAAUACGUAGGUGGCAAGCGUUGUCCGGAUUUAUUGGGCGUAAAGGGAGCGCAAGCGGUGACUUAAGUCUGAUGUGAAAGCCCACGGCUCAACCGUGGAAGGUCAUUGGAAACUGGGUCACUUGAGUGCAGAAGAGGAAAGUGGAAUUCCAUGUGUAGCGGUGAAAUGCGUAGAUAUAUGGAGGAACACCAGUGGCGAAGGCGACUUUCUGGUCUGUAACUGACGCUGAGGCUCGAAAGCGUGGGGAGCAAACAGGAUUAGAUACCCUGGUAGUCCACGCCGUAAACGAUGAGUGCUAAGUGUUGGAGGGUUUCCACCCUUCAGUGCUGGAGUUAACGCAAUAAGCACUCCGCCUGGGGAGUACGGUCGCAAGACUGAACUCAAAGGAAUUGACGGGACC
rnacentral:rRNA from 1 species